GUGUCCUUGGUGUAACGGUAACACAAUCUAUUAAUCUUGCAAAUGUACGCGAGCUCUAAGAUUGGGUCCGGGGUUCGACUCCCCGAGGGUGCA